rnacentral:rRNA from 1 species
GAUGAACGCUAGCGGCAGGCCUAACACAUGCAAGUCGAGGGAUAAGCCCUUUCGGGGGCAGAAACCGGCGCACGGGUGCGUAACUCGUAUGCAACCUACCUUUCACAGGGGGAUAGCCCGAUGAAUUUUGGAUUAAUACCCCAUUAUAUUAUUUGAUGGCAUCAUUUGAUAAUUAAAACUGCGGUGGUGUAAUAUGGGCAUGCGUCCUAUUAGCUAGUUGGAGUGGUAACGGCACACCAAGGCUACGAUAGGUAGGGGUCCUGAGAGGGAGAUACCCGACAAGGGUAAUGAGACAGGGACCAGAAUGCUACGGGAGGCAGCAGUGAGGAAUAUAGGUGAAGGGAAGGAAGAAUGAACCAGCCAUGCCGCGUGCAGGAAGAAUGGCUUAGGGGUUGUAAACUGCUUUUAAAAGGGAAGAAUAAGGCGUAAGUGUACGUUGAUGACGGUAACAGAUGAAUAAGCAUCGGCUAACUCCGUG